GGAGGGGUGCGAGAGCGGCCGAAUCGGCACGACUGGAAAUCGUGUGUGGGGAAACUCACCGUGGGUUCAAAUCCCACCCUCUCCG
rnacentral:tRNA from 1 species